UAUUUUUCAUUCACAUAUUUCAAUUUUACACAUUUCAACAGCAAACAAUCAAUAAUUCUCAUAAUUAAAUGAUCAAAUCCAGAAAUCCCUCAAUGAAACUCACAACAGCUCAUACACAUCCGCACGAUCCAUCAAGUGUACAUACAAUCGGAAACAAAUACACACGCACCAAAACAUGGUGGCAACAUCAACUAAAACUAUUGUGCACAUCUCUAGGCUUCUUCUGAUCUUCGUUCACAGCAGCAGCCACUCGACGACUUUAGAUGCUGAUCUACAUAAAUUAUUAGUAAGAUACAGUGGAAGUUAAAUGAUUGUCAAUAAAAAAAUAUCCAUUCAAGAGAAUAAAAAUUACACCUAAAUUCCCAAAUGCCUCAGUUCAGUAAACACUAAGCAUGGCAUGGCAAAACUUCCAAAACUUGACUGCAACACAUUGACCUAGUGAUGUUCUUCUAAGGCCCUGUUCGGUUUACAGGAAUUUCAAAGAAAAGGUACAGGAACCCAAAACGGAGGAAAUCUGCUAAGAACUAGCGUUCGGCACGCAGGAUUUCAACCAUCAGAUUCCUCUGACUUUCACAGGAAAAUAAAAAUCCAACCAGAGAUCGUGUCUUCGCGUAAGAGCGAAGCAGCACAGAGCUAACAAUGAGUGCAGGCUGACAGUUGCACUGUACAUCCUAAUAAAAUAUACCUUUGUGUGCCAGCAGCUUGGAGACCAAAGCAGCUAGUACGUUACAUGCCGAAUAAAUUAUAUUUUAAUCUAUACUUCACAACCCAUGCACAAGCCGACUCCUAUGUGUUUUUGCAAUGACCCGAACUCGUUUUUCUCAAGCUUUCCUACGUUUCUAGAUCCGCAGUUUUGCUUUGCUUCUCCUUUCCCAUUCCUACUAUUUCUUAAAUUCCUGUGUUUUAAUACCCUUUGUUCCGAACAGGGCCUAAGACAUUCAAGCUCAUCGUAGGCAGCAACAAUACUAACAUAUAGGUACCAGCAAUCACACGCAAACUGGUUUGGGUCAACAACAACAACAAGGCUACGAAGAACCACACAGGAAAUGGUUAACGCCAACAGAUGCCGGGCCUAUCAAAAACCACGGAAACUAACAUACCAUCUGAAUAUAUGAUCGUUUCCAGUGCAGAGGAUCUAGCAGUGCUCCCAACUCUAGAGAGACUUGCGGGAAGGGGCGGCUGGGCAAGGGGAGCGCGACUCACAGGUGGGGGUAACCGAGCAUGUCGUUGCUUGCCUCGCGCUGGCAGAACUUGUUGGUCGUGUUCGCUGUUAUAGUCAAGCAGCAGCCUCUUGUACUCGAAGGCCUAUAAAAUAAAAUGGAUAAGUUAGAUUGAUUAUUGUAGGUGCAGCACAUUUUCUGGAAGAGGCAUAAACAUGGAAUGAAAUAGAUGUAGUAUCAUCACUACAUGAAAGGAGCAUUAUUCUUGAAGUAAAAAACAACAUCCUGUCACCAAACAAACACUACUUGACAGGAAACUGUGCAUUUCGUCCUUGUAUCCAUUAGUAGCAGGAUAGCAGCAAUGAUUCACAUGGCACGAAUAAUUCAUUAUGAGGAAACAUGUUACUGGGUAUGAAACAAACUAUUUACAUAGGUAAAAUGGACACAUGUACAAUACAUAGCUUGUUGUAAGCAGAAAACACUAGUGCUCAUAUACCAAAAUCAACGACAGUACUUAUGGACAAGCGUAACAAGGUUAAACAUCGGAGAAAGCACUUGCUAAGAUAUCAUCAUUUAGGGGCAUUUCCAUCACCAAUGUGGCAAACUGCAAAGCUGGUCAGCAGAACAUAUCUGUCACCAGUUACAAGCAUAUUCUUGUUCAUGCAUAACUAUAGCCACCUCUAUUUCAAAAACAGAAGCAAAUCAACCACCCUUCAAAAUUUCUGUACUAUCUAAACCAACAAAGAUGUCAACUUAAAUACUUCUAGAAAUCAGUGCCCAUACGCACUUGUAGGUUGCAGAAACACUAGAGUUUCACCACAACAGUGCACAAACUGCAACAAAUGAAUAAACAA
rnacentral:lncRNA from 1 species